GUCAAAACGUAGACCCGUUCCCGAAUCAAAUAGCUGAGAAGUGGACGCAUCACCGCCUAUAUCGCGACUCAGGGCAGCCUGGGAAUGCCUCCACGUUGGCACCGGAAUGCAUGGUUUCGGCCUGUGAAUUUUGAAUUAGCAGUUUUGGCAUAUGACGGAUUGUCUUCUGCUAGAGAGCCAUGUGAUUCAAUUAAACUUUGUCAAUUUUUGUGCCGAUAGAGACGCAUCUUGAGUUCAUUAGAAGCUAUCAUUUUCUUCCCAAAAUCGCCAAAUCCCUCUACCACAAAAUGAGCAGCAUUUCUUCAAUAAGAAAUAUCAGCAAACGCCACCUAUGUUCCAAUUUUUUUAUUGGAACUUCCCUUCCAAGCCUACAAUGGAGAUUCUACAGUCGCGCUCGCUCUCCUCAGCAAUUCACCAGAACCAUAAACCUCAAAGUCUCUCCCUUUCUCUAUACACCGUUUCCCUCGCAUCCCUUUUCCACUUUGAAUUCGAAAUCUAAAGUUGGAUUUAUAGGAUGGUAUUUGGGGAAGCUCGAUUCACGCCCAAUCCUGACGAAAACUAUCACAACUUCUCUUAUUUUCGCCGCUGCUGACUUGACCGCUCAGAUGUUGUCACCAUCAUCUGGAUCUGGUUCAUUUGACUUAAUAAGGACACUACGCAUGGCUGCAUAUGGGUUGCUGAUUUUAGGGCCAUCACAGCAUCUGUGGUUCAAUCUUAUGUCAAAAACUUUGCCAAAACGUGAUGUGUUGACUACCUUGAAGAAAACUUUUAUGGGACAGGCUAUUUAUGGACCUGCUAAUGCCAUUGUUUUCUUCUCCUACAAUGCAGCUUUACAAGGUAAAGAAAAUUGUUAUAUUCAUUACAAUUUGUGUCUAAAAUGAUUGCUAUCUGCUUUUUCCAAGAGGGUGCAAUAAAGCCUCUCUAUAUGGACAGAGGGCAUCAUGUGGUUGCUUGACCACUAUGAGCUUAUAGAGUUGUCAUAAUGGAUGACUAGGCGUGCCAAUAGUUUUAAUUCUCUUAUAUUCAGAAAAUGGGUUCAUAGGUCAAUGAUGAAAUUAGAUGGCAUAGAUUUUACUGGGGCUCCAUCUAUGGGUUACUAGAUAUGCUUUAUGACAAGCUAUUUGGGUGUCUAGCUUGAGCUACCACAAUUUAGAUAAGCUUCAAACAUAGGGCUUCACUAGCUUUUGGCACUUCAUUAUGAUGUUAAAAAAAUGAGCCGGCUUUCUAUAUAUAUAUAUAUAAACAAAAUCUUUUCCUUUUCUACUUCUUUUUCCUAUAACUCAUUUCAAUUAGCAUGCUCCACUUGAUAGAUGGGAAAUAUGCCAGCUCACCUGAAAGGCAUUGGAUUUUUCAUUUUUUUUUGGUUGUGAGAUAUUCUUUGAAUAAUUUGGAUUUCCUUUCUAAGCUACUAUGUUGGUGUGAAACUAAGGUGAAAGUGGUGAUGAGAUUGUUGCUAGAUUGAAGCGUGAUGUGCUCCCAACAUUGAGAAAUGGUCUUUUGUAUUGGCCAUUCUGUGAUUUUUUUACAUACAAAUUUGUUCCAGUUCAUCUACAGGUACAUUUUGGUGAAUCUUUAUUGUCAAAAGAAUUUGUAAUCCAAUUUGGAGACUUCAUUGCUUUAAUCUUAACUUCAGUUUUUCACCCAUUUUUCCCUUACCUAACGUUUGGCAUUUGUUGGCAGCCAUUGGUGAACAGUGUGUGUGCAUAUCUAUGGACAAUCUAUUUAACAUACAUGGCAAGCUUACAAAAAGUGAUCACCAGUUAAUCUUUAGAAUUUUACUUCAAAUCAUCCACAGCUUGUACGCACUAUGAGUUAGCUAAAGAAAGAGGAGAAGAACCUGACUGGUGCGACCCAUCUUGCUGGUUCUAGAUUAAUCAUUAAUAUUAAAUUUCUUAUUGUUGCUGGUAGGUAUUCUUUUAGUUAUAGAUAAUCAGUUUCUUUAUGAAUUUAAUGUCCGGAUCCGGUUGGUUAGAUUUUGGAUUUGAAAUGCAUUUCAACGACAGAUAAUUGACUUCUAGCUUCUUGCAUAUGCAAGUUAACAAAUUCUGCUUUUGAUGUUGACUGGAUUACUAGCAUGCAAUACAUAUGUUUUCUUUCGUCUCCCUCUCAUAACAGCUAGAAGAUUGUUUUUCAUAAUUUUAUGCAUAUGGAAUAUUGUGCGGAAUGUUGAUUAUGAGCAGUGAUUUUAGAAUAAUGACUUUAUGAGGGAUAACAUGAUUCAAAAUCUUUUGAGAAGCUGUUAAGAGUUAUUUUAUUGGGGCUUUCGUCACUCAAUCUAUUCUUGUAUUAUAAUGGGUGUUUUGUCCAAACGAUACCAUUUCUAUCUAGAUUCACAAGUGUUAUUGGAUGUGUUGAGGCUCUGAAAAUUGUUAGAAUUCAUGUUUAGGAUUAUUGAUUAAGCUAAAAUAUUUUUCUUAAAACUGAUAAACAAUUUUGUAUUUGUGAACACAUUAUAUUCGGUUUUAGUUUUGCUGAUCUUUUGUGACUGUCCGCCUUUCACUACAAAUUUUGGUGGAAAAGAGAUCUUACUGGCCAAUCUACAAUUUUCCUCCACUUUUUCCAGUUCAUAUCUCCACAGUAUUAUUUUUUAAACAUUGUUUCAGUUUAGGCUUAAUUGAGUUAGAAUUAAGGAUUAGUUAAGGUGAGUUGGAUUGAAGAGUUAUUUUCUUUGGAUUAGGAAGAGAGUACUUAGAUUCAAGCACUCCAGUUCCCUUUCAAAAAGUCAUGGCAUUGUCUUUGAUAAAAGUGGAAUUAACUUUAAACAUCUAGAUAUCCAGGCUUGUUUCUAUUAUCUAUUUAUUUUGUUAACAUUUUCUUAAUGCUUACUAAUAUUUGUCCAUUCUUAUUGUUC
rnacentral:misc_RNA from 1 species